AAUAGUUGUUCACGGGGCUUGAGAAAGAUUCUCAAACUUGAAAAUUUUAGCACUACUUUUUCUUAAGAAUCACAUUUGAUUUGGUCAUUGGAAUUUUUUGCUGAGGAUCCAUGCGGUGUCAGUGAAACUAGACCUUGGUUACAUGGUGAUGGAUGCAUUAUCCCAGGGUUCUCCUAUAAACACUGUCAUAUCCAUGCUGGGGUGUUGUUUUUUCAUUCUUCUAAUUCAGCUUUGCUCUAGCAUCACGUAUUUAUAGCCUAUAACAACUUUGGCUGUGAUUUUAAGUUCAUUCCCUUUUUCUGAUACCAUUAAGUUCAUUCCCUUGAGUUCUUACACUGUGUCAUGUAGGUUUCUAGGAUUCGUUUAAAAAACAAUUUUUACAGCUAAUAAAUAUAGUUGGUUUUCUUUUGCAGGUUGAGAAGACAAGGCAAGGUUUCAGCAGAAUGAACGUCUCACAGCACAGCUCCUGCAACCAAAGAGUUAUGCUGGCCCAAUUGAAGAGACAAUUCAGUAUUUCAAUCAGAGAACAAGCUCGGACCUUCAAAGCGAGCCUCAAAGACAAACCUCAAAUAUCACACUUUGCAGCCUUCUUUUGCUUGCACACAGUGCAAUUCCGUGGAACAAAAAAUUUAAGUAUUUGCGACAAGGAUAUUCACACAGGCUGUCUCCUACUUUCUCAGAAGCAAAUAGGGUUUUCUAACAGCAAAUGAGCUAAGCAACCUUUUACAGCAGAAAAGCCUGAGACAUUAACCAGACGAGUUGUUGGGACCACAGACACAACCACAUUAUGGUGCAUUAGACUCCUAUCUUUAUGGGCUCACUCUAUGCCACCCAAAGCUGAAAAUGCCAACCAUCUGUAUUGCCCUAAUACCAUAACAAGCCCUACUAUUCUCUCGAAUGGCUUUAGUUGUGCCAUGGCUUACAAGGAAAUCCGCGUGAGAUACUUAAUUAUUACUGAUUUGAGCAUGGAAAUACGUCAGGACAGGUGCCUUAAUUAAGACCACGAUACAAAUGGAGGUGUUGGGCUAUGGACUUAUGAGCUCUCCUAAAGACCAGAGAUUUGUAUAUAGCAAAAGGAGACUACCAUCGAGCCUCUAAAUUCAAUCCCAAUGGAACAUACUUCAUCUAGCUAGUAGCGUCCCACUCUGAAAUCAGUAAGGGUAAGCUGCAAAGAUGACUACAAUGGUCAAAGCUAGAGUGCAAUAAGUUGAUUAUCAGACAUCAAUAAGUUUAAAAAUAUAACAAAUUUCAUAACAUCUUUCAUAGUUAUUAUGGAUGAUGGCAGAUUGCAGUUGGUGUACAGUAAAAGAAACUUUAGUAGUUAUUUGAGUGAAAAUUAUGUUACUUUAAUUAUAA